GCGCUUGUAGCCCAACGGUAAGGCACCAAACUUUUAAUUUGGGGACUGCGAGUUCGAUUCUCGCCAAGCGCACCA
rnacentral:tRNA from 1 species